UUGUAGGAUCCCUUCUUUUGCGUAUACUGUCUCCCUUUUAAUUAUCAUUUGCACAAAGUUCCCAGCACCUUCAUAGGGCUGAGUUCCUGUUUCUUAUAGUGGAAAGUGAUCUGAUAAGCAACAUGACAACAUGUUAAGUCAUCUAAGGGCAUUUUCAUCUUAAGUGAGAUCUCCAGAAAAAAUAAAGUUAUUAGUACAACGCUUGUUACUGCGGAACCUACGAUUGCACUGAGUGAAACACACCAUUGCCUCAGAUUUGUUGUCAGUCUCUCUGCUCUGAUGCUUUCCUGUUGCCAUGACGGUUACCCAGUCACCUUGAGUCACCUUCUAGCUCUGUGCAUGCAAGGCUCAUACUGAGUCUGAAGGAAAGUGAGAGAAAAGAUGAAAAAGAAAUGCCAGGAGUGGUGCCUGGCAAGUUUCCAGUUGCAUCUCUACUCUCAGGGGCAGAGUGAAUAUUCUACAGAAUGAGAGAGUGGUCAAGCAGAUAUUUAUCAAGCGCCAGACACUGCUGCCAACAUUGCCAGGAAGUAAAAAGCAGUCUGAGUAUGACGAAGACACACGUAUUUGGGAUCACCUAUGAAAUACUGCAGCACUGAAGACCAAAAGUUGACAUCCUAAAGUUAACGGACACUCUACUCAACAUUUAUGCUUUUGGAGGGCUAGAGGAGAGUAUGGACCAGGUGCGUUGGAUCAGGAAGCUGGCUUGUCCUGUGGUCCUCAAGUUCAGGAAGAACUCAGUACGCAUUUCUUGGCUGGUUGAUUUUGCAAUAUUCCUUGCAUAUUCCUUUUUUUUAGCUCUAGGUGAUAUAUGGACGUUUAUACUCUUUCACUGAGAGUUAGUACAGGUAUGUUGUUAUUGCUGUUGUUUAGUCCUCUAGGUUCCUGUGUCCAUGGGGUUCUCUAGGUAAGAAUGCUGCAGUGGGUUGCCAUUUCCUCUUCCAGGGCAUCUUUCUCACCUACGGACUGAAACUGCAUCUCCUGCACGGCAGGCGCUGACUCACCAGGGAAGCCCAUGCUUGUUAUUAGCAUAUAGAAAAUACAUUGAUUAAAAACAUGUGCAUGUUGGUUAAUUUUAACUCAUUGCUUUAUUACUUGCUAGAUAUAUGUUAAAGAAGUUAAAAUCGUGGGUUUAGGAGUUGGAUUUGGGCUGGGUCAGGCCUUAAUUGGUAAAAAUGGGCAAUACUAUCUGCCUUGGAGAAUUAGUAGCCCUGGCACACAGUGCAUACUCCAAGUGGCUAUUAUUAAUAAUGAUAAUGUUGGCAUUUUUAUAGCAUAAUAUGUAACAUUUAUUAUCUUGGUGUGUGUGUAUAAGUGUAGUUAUUACGGCAGAAAGAAGAUAGCGGAAAGUGUAUUUUAGAACACUGUUUCUCACAAAGAGGUCUCAAGACCAGCAGCAACAGCAUACCUCAGAAUUACUAGAGAUACAGAUUUCUGCCCCACACCCCAGAUCUGCUGAAACAGAUAUAGAAGUGUGCGCUGAAUACUAUCUAACAAGUCCUCCAGGUGGUUCUGAAGCAUCCUAAAGCUUAGGAACCCUGCUUUAAAGGCACAUACACACAAACACACACACCCUCACACUCUCUGUCUGGUGUGCCUCUUUGGGGAAACCAUCUAUUAACAGAUUAAAAGGAUCCUGGAGGCCAACACCUAGAGAAUUCCUGCUGAGGGGCAGGUCCAUAGGACCUGACUCAUUUGAAUUUGGGAGAGAGACCCAGUUUCUGGUUUGCAUAUCAAACUUGUGCAGUGGCCUAGCUUUCUGACAGGUCUUUGAAAAAUGAGGUCCCCAGUAACAGCCCUCUCUCCCUCCAAUAUUUCCUGGCCUGCAGCAAUUAAACUGCUGAGCAGAAACUGGGCCUGAUGGUCUGUUAACCCUUUGUCAGCUGAAGCACAGAAGCAAUUUGUUUUGCUGGAGAGAUUGUCUUCUCAACUUCUUUUCCUCCCACUGCACUACAAAGGAAAACUGUCUCCUUAAACAUCUCCUUGUCGAGCUGCUGCAUCUGUGUGAUUGAAACAGCCAGGUCAGAGAUCAACAGAGGUGAAAGGUCAUCACAAACUAAAUGCAGCUGCUGACUCUCCUUGUGAUUCUCCUUGGUGUCAUGAAGACAAAUAGCAUUAAAAAAAAUUUCCCGCAAUGAAGCAGUUCUCAUUUUCUCCUUUCUCAUCACCCUUCAAGCAUUUCUUAAUGAACUACAGCUCAAUCAUCUAUGAGCAUGGUGGUUUUACAUCUGAGCACAGCCUCCCAGAAACCAUCAGAACUGAGUCAAUUAAGAUAGCUUUCUGAGUGCUUUUUCCUUGUAUUAUUAAGUUUGGACUUUCAGCACAGUCCAAGUCCUCAUUGUUACCAAUUACAACAAUAUCAAACAAACAUGCCAUGUCCAGCCAUGACACAGUCCAGGAACGACAGACACGGGCAAGCACUUCCUGGUUACUGAUCAUUGUGCUGUCUUUGUCUUUUACAUAUAUUCCUUGUUUCUUUCUGCUCACGCGUGCUUUAUAGAUUUUCUCUGGAAAUUUUGAAUUUUAGACCAACACCUUCCACUGUCUAGGCAGGGAUUUCUCAGGGAAACCCAGCCAAAAUGAAUGUGCAUAUAAACAAAUGGAAAUUGGGAUCAUAAUCUUAUUUAAACCACGUCUGUUGGAACUGAGUAACUCUUAAUAAAGAAAAGACAAUCCUGUUUUCCUACCUUUCCAUUUCUAAAGACAAGAAGAGUUUUAAAUCUGACAACAGAAUAGAAACCAUCCAAAAAUAUCCAAAUGAAUAUUUCUUUAAUGACAAGAACCCUAGUAUUCAACCCAAGCUGAUUUUUAAUAAGUUCUUUAUCAUGCUCAACAUAGUGCUUUGCUCACAGUAGAUACCCAACACCUUUCUCCGACUCAAUACUGCUUAUAAAUGUGAGCUUUAGCCUUAAAAAACAUAGAAACUGGAACUGAGAUAUAAGGGAUGGAGAUAUCUGACUUUACAGUAAAAUGAGAAUUUAUUAAUCAAAUUUGGGUUUGGACUGUGUUAGUGCUGAUGGUGGAAGAAGGAAUUGUAUGUGAAACAGCUAAUGUGGAUCCACACUUGUCAUAUAAGGGCUCCAUGAGGGUGAUUUUUCUUCUCUCCUUCUCCAGUGAGUAAUGGCUCAUCUACAAACCAAGGGACAGCUGUGCUAGAAUGGUCAGAAAUCAAAACUGGAGUCAGGGGUUUCCCCUCUUGGCCCAUGGUCCUCUGUAGGCAGGCAGGAUUGGGAGGAGUGAGGAAAGGUUUGCAGAGUUGCCGUAAAAGAUUUAAAAUUUGUAUGUGCACAGAACAUGUCAUACAGAUGAAUUAAACACUGUCUCUUACACAGCGUUUCUCCUCUUUCUCAAAUAUCUAUUUGUACAGUAUUGUGGCAAAUAUAUCCAUAUUUAUCUAUAAUAACUACAAAAUGAAUUGUAGUUUUUGCCAUCCUUCAUCUUCUCAACUGCUAUCCAGUGAUGUCUAAGAUAUGUUUUGAAUAGAAAAGCUUUCUUCCUGUUGAAAAACAGAAGGAACGCCUAUUCUACAGCAUGUGCUAGAAUGGUCAGAAAUCAAAACUGAAGUCAGAGGUUCCCCCCCUUGGCCCAUGGUCCUCUGUAGGCAGGCAGGAUUGUCCUUGUCCUCUAAGGCAAGGCUUCCCAGGUCUUGUCCUAGGACCUGUGGUACCUAUUUGCCGUGCAACUACCCUGCUCCAUCCCUGACCCUCUGGAUUAGAAUCUCCUAGGCAGGGAACUAGAAAUCUUUGUAACAAACUUCCUGAUGCCAGUUUUCCCAUGUAUUGAAAUUUGAGAACCCUGGGUUUAAGGGAGUUGGAAAAUAUCUUAACACCAACAGGAGUCAGCUUCAGGAGGCUAAAGCUUUGGUGUUUUGUGUGUGUGUGUGUGUGUGUGUUUUACCUGAAAACAGAAUAUUGCUUUCCCCUUUAAAUCCUUGAAUACUAUCCAAAAGCUUGCUAGAAUAUUUAUUAAUCAUGUCAGAUAGUCUAAUGACAAUUUUCAACCACCAUAUCCCCACUGGAUAAAACCAAAGAACAAUGGUUCUGUAUCGUCUACAGAUGACUCUUAGUCACACAACUAUUUGCCUUUGUCGAGAUGCACUGAAAUACCAUGUGAAUUAAAUUACAGUGGGCAGGGGAGCUGGACUACAGAUCUGAAAUCAUUAGCAACUCCUGAGAGCAUUCACUUGAUUUGUGUGUAUUUAAAUAUAAUCUUCAAUAAAAUUAGGAAACCCUUACCACCAUCCGUGUUGCCAUAGCAAAGUGCAGGGACAGCAGAUAUCUGGUCUAUGUUUUUACUUCCUCCCCACCCCCACGAGCUUGCAUGGCAGCUAGACAUGUCUAAUCAAUUCUAGCAAUCCUUCCUCUUAAGCCAGGAUAUUUAUGCCUCAGAAUACUGUGCCCCAGGCAGCUCUCAGCAAAUGAGAUGAUGGACAAUGAAACCUACUUGUUUCAUCUGGGCUGAUGAAGGGCAUGGGCUUUGCAUUCAUGGGUUUGGGGGGUCAGAUCCCAGUCUUGACACUUAGAGGUUGUGAGACAACACAAGAUACUCAAGAUAUUUAGGUACUUUUGCAGCCUCAUUCUCCUCAUUUGCACAAGUGGGAUUAUAGUUGCACCUCCCAGGAUUGUUGUGAAAGUGACAGAAAGGAUGUUUGUAAAUUGCUUAGCAUGCCUAGUACAUAGUGCUGCUGCUAAGUCACUUCAGUUGUGUCCGACUCUGUGCGAC